rnacentral:rRNA from 1 species
CCUACGGGAGGCAGCAGUGAGGAAUAUUGGUCAAUGGACGAGAGUCUGAACCAGCCAAGUAGCGUGAAGGAUGACUGCCCUAUGGGUUGUAAACUUCUUUUAUAUGGGAAUAAAAUGUUCCACGUGUGGGAUUUUGUAUGUACCCUAUGAAUAAGGAUCGGCUAACUCCGUGCCAGCAGCCGCGGUAAUACGGAGGAUCCGAGCGUUAUCCGGAUUUAUUGGGUUUAAAGGGAGCGUAGGUGGAUUGUUAAGUCAGUUGUGAAAGUUUGUGGCUCAACCGUAAAAUUGCAGUUGAAACUGGCAGUCUUGAGUACAGUAGAGGUGGGCGGAAUUCGUGGUGUAGCGGUGAAAUGCUUAGAUAUCACGAAGAACUCCGAUUGCGAAGGCAGUUCACUGGACUGCAACUGACACUGAGGCUCGAAAGUGUGGGUAUCAAACAGGAUUAGAUACCCGAGUAGUC